rnacentral:rRNA from 1 species
UUUAUGGAGAGUUUGAUCCUGGCUCAGGAUGAACGCUGGCGGCGUGCCUAAUACAUGCAAGUCGAGCGAACGGACGAGAAGCUUGCUUCUCUGAUGUUAGCGGCGGACGGGUGAGUAACACGUGGAUAACCUACCUAUAAGACUGGGAUAACUUCGGGAAACCGGAGCUAAUACCGGAUAAUAUUUUGAACCGCAUGGUUCAAAAGUGAAAGACGGUCUUGCUGUCACUUAUAGAUGGAUCCGCGCUGCAUUAGCUAGUUGGUAAGGUAACGGCUUACCAAGGCAACGAUGCAUAGCCGACCUGAGAGGGUGAUCGGCCACACUGGAACUGAGACACGGUCCAGACUCCUACGGGAGGCAGCAGUAGGGAAUCUUCCGCAAUGGGCGAAAGCCUGACGGAGCAACGCCGCGUGAGUGAUGAAGGUCUUCGGAUCGUAAAACUCUGUUAUUAGGGAAGAACAUAUGUGUAAGUAACUGUGCACAUCUUGACGGUACCUAAUCAGAAAGCCACGGCUAACUACGUGCCAGCAGCCGCGGUAAUACGUAGGUGGCAAGCGUUAUCCGGAAUUAUUGGGCGUAAAGCGCGCGUAGGCGGUUUUUUAAGUCUGAUGUGAAAGCCCACGGCUCAACCGUGGAGGGUCAUUGGAAACUGGAAAACUUGAGUGCAGAAGAGGAAAGUGGAAUUCCAUGUGUAGCGGUGAAAUGCGCAGAGAUAUGGAGGAACACCAGUGGCGAAGGCGACUUUCUGGUCUGUAACUGACGCUGAUGUGCGAAAGCGUGGGGAUCAAACAGGAUUAGAUACCCUGGUAGUCCACGCCGUAAACGAUGAGUGCUAAGUGUUAGGGGGUUUCCGCCCCUUAGUGCUGCAGCUAACGCAUUAAGCACUCCGCCUGGGGAGUACGACCGCAAGGUUGAAACUCAAAGGAAUUGACGGGGACCCGCACAAGCGGUGGAGCAUGUGGUUUAAUUCGAAGCAACGCGAAGAACCUUACCAAAUCUUGACAUCCUUUGACAACUCUAGAGAUAGAGCCUUCCCCUUCGGGGGACAGAGC